rnacentral:rRNA from 1 species
UGCCAGCCGCCGCGGUAAUACGGAGGGGGUUAGCGUUGUUCGGAAUUACUGGGCGUAAAGCGCGCGUAGGCGGACUAUUAAGUCGGAUGUGAAAGCCCCGGGCUCAACCUGGGAAUUGCAUUCGAUACUGGUUGACUAGAGUGUGGCAGAGGCAAGUGGAAUUCCCGGUGUAGCGGUGAAAUGCGUAGAUAUCGGGAGGAACAUCAGUGGCGAAGGCGACUUGCUGGGUCAACACUGACGCUGAGGUACGAAAGCGUGGGGAGCAAACAGGAUUAGAUA